UACCAGCACCUCGAGUGGUCAGGACGUUUAUUGGGCCUAAAGCAUCCGUAGCCGGCUCUGCAAGUCUUCGGUUAAAUCCACCUGCUCAACAGAUGGGCCGCUGGAGAUACUAUAGAGCUAGGGAGUGGGAGAGGCAGACGGUAUUCAGUGGGUAGGGGUGAAAUGCGCAGAUACAGUGAGGACCACCAGUGGCGAAGGCGGUCUGCCAGAACACGUUCGACGGUGAGGGAUGAAAGCGGGGGGAGCAAACCGG
rnacentral:rRNA from 1 species